rnacentral:rRNA from 1 species
GAUGAACGCUGACGGAAUGCUUAACACAUCAGCCAUUGAUUGGUGGUGGACGGGUGAGUAACGCGUAAAGAACUUACCUCACCGUAGGGACAACAUUUGGAAACGACUGCUAAUCCCUAAUCCUGUGAGAGAACUUUGCGUCCCAUUAGCUAGUUGGAGAGGUAACGGCCCACCAAGGCGAGGAUGGGUAGCCGGCCUGAGAUGGUGAUCGGGCAAAAGCGGCCUGAGACACGGCCCUUACUACUACGGGAGGCAGGAGUGGGGAAUAUGCGACAAUGGACCAAAGUCUGAACCAGCAAUGCUGUGUGCACGAUGAAGUUGUCGGAAUGUAAAGUGCUUUCAGUUGGGAAGCGGUACCAACAGAAGAAGUGACGGCUAACUACGUGCCAGCAGCCGCGGUAAUUC